UGGAUUUUCAUAUGAAGUUGGGGCUUAUUCGUUGUUACCUUCUUUCUCCUUGGGCGAUUGCGACCAUGACAUCAAAAUUCUAAUAUGAAGAUUGAGGGAUUUGUCCAGCAGUGUCACAUUUUCUUCCAAAUCUGCUAUUCUUGGUGUGAAGAAUGCAACCACAAAGCUUGAGAAGUUGAAGUUUUCUGAUGGUCAACAUGUCAUCAUACCGCAGCAUAUCCAAGUCCAUGAUGCCGUAAAGAAUGUAUUGAGCUUUGGAAGCCUUGAUGCAAGUUUUGGGGUCGGGGAGAACUGUGUAGUAGACGGUGAAAGCAAUGGGAGCUUUAACCCUGUUACCGAUUUAGUUCACGAGGAACCUGUCAGCGAGCUUUC